rnacentral:rRNA from 1 species
GAUGAACGCUGGCGGCGUGCUUAACACAUGCAAGUCGAACGGACAGGCUCCUGCUUUCCGGGGUACUCGUUUGCCGAACGGGUGAGUAUCACGUGUGUGAUCUGCCCUUCACUUCGGGAUAUGCCUUCGAAACUGGGUCUCUUACCGGAUAGGACGUUUUUUUGGAUGCCAUUCUGGAAUGUUUUUCCGGCUUGCGAUCAGUUCUCGGCGUAUCAGCUUUUUGUGGGGGUAUUGGCCUACAAAGGCGUCGCCGGGUCGCCGGCCAGAGAGGGUGAGAGGCGAACUUGGGACUGAGAGACGGCCCAGACACCUACGGGAGGCAGAAGUGGGGAAUAUUGCAGAAUGGGCGCAAGCCUGAUGCAGCGACGCCGCGUGGGGGAAGACGGGUUACGGGUGGUAAACACCUGUCGAUGGGGACGAGGAGAAAGUGACGGUACCUGAAGAAGAAGCACCGGCUAACUACGUG